UCUUCCAUUGAUAGCUGCCAAAUUGAGUGAUGUGGGUCUGGAAAUUUCCUAUUAUCAUCAGCAGUAUUGGACGAUACUGUUUUAGACGUUAUGUGACAAUGAAUAGAAGGGUUUAACAGGAAAGCCUGCUUUCAUUACAUAAUUUUGGGAUUGUUUGAUUUGACUGAAGACUUCUUGUGACCCUAAAGAACAGACAUUAGCAUUGAGCUUUUUAGUGGGAAACAAAACAUUGAAUUGUCAAGUUACUUCAAGUUAUCAGAAAUAAGUCAAGAUUCUGGGAGUGUAAUAUAUUUGUAUUCUAAACAGUUGACCAAUGUUAGAAGCAGCAUAUCUAAAAAUACUCUUUGGCAGCAGGGUAAACAGUGAAGCCUAAUGUUUUUAAUGUCACUUCAGAGGGUCUGCAGUAUUUGAUUCAGCCUUAUUUAAAAAUGUAAUGUCUGGCAAAUUAGAAUCCCAAGAGAUGAGGAGUGAAAAUUCAAAUGCAAAGGUAUGUUUCUCUUUGUGUGUAUCAGCAAUGUCCAAUAGAAGUAUAAGGUAAGCCCCAUGUGAACUUUAAAUUUUUUCAUAAUCCAAAUAAAAAUAUAUUGUGAAACUAAGGAAAUUAAAUUUUUGUGAAUUUUAAUUUAAUCCAGCAUAUCUAGCAUAUUACAGUUUUGACAUGUAGUGAGUAUAAAAAUAUUAGUGAGGUAUACUCCUUUUUUUCCUUUUGGUACUAAAUUUUCAAAGUGUAGUGUACGUUUUACACCUAGAGUACCUUGAGUUGGACUAGCCACAUUUCAAAUGUUCGUAACCCUGUGUGAUCAGUGUCCACUGUCUUAGCCAGUGUAAUUUUAUAUUGUAAAGGCAUGAGAAAUAUCAUUUAUUUCUUCUAUACAAAACGAAACACCAUCAUGGGGGAAAUAAAUUCUGAGAAUUAAUGGUAGAAAGUUGUAGUGCGUGAGGCCAAUUAUAGUCACAGGCCUAUUGCUUGCAAAGUGCCGUCUUCAGAAAAUUUCCAUGUGUAGCUCACUAGGUUAAAGAGUCUUCCUAAAGGAGGAGAACAUUAUCAUGGAGCAUCAGGAUACUGUACAGCAAUGAUAAUGUAUUAGUUUUUCAAGUUGGUAUAAAUGAAAACAAAGGUCUGGCAAGACUUAGGCUCAGAAUUGAUACCUAUCUUAUAGGAAGAAUACUGAGAAAUUGAUGUAGAAAUAAUGGUGUCCCCCACCCUAAUGGAAUCACAUUUAAAUUCAAAAUUUGUUAAAUAUUUAGAAACUUUUUUGUUUUUGUUUUUUUAUAUAACCCUGAUUUUUCUUGGUGAAUAAGAGAGAGAUUAGGAACAGUUUGUCAAACUCUGAAAAAUAUUUUAUUGAUUAUUGGCUGUAUAUAAAAUUCUGUACUGUUUACAAAACUCAGUGAAACAAGAUUCCUGCCUUCUGCAAGCACAUGAUCCCAUAGGAGCUGAUUAGACACAUGCAUCACCAAUGGCCACUGCGUGACUUUAUCAAAAGAUGUUUAUGUUCCAUUGCACCAUUUUCAGAUCUGAUAGUUCUGCAAAAUUAGGUUUUCUUCUCCAAAAUAAGGUUUUAUAAAUAGGGAAAUUCAAUCUGCCAGCUAUACUUUUCGAAGCUGCAGAUUUGUGCAAAUUGGGUUUUACAUUUUUUCUUUUAAAUCUGAUUUCAGUAACUGCUUCCCAAUUUAUUUUUGCUUUUUGAGAGAACUUUAAGGGAGAAAAGCUACUUUUUGGUACUUCAUCGUAGUUCCUUUUUAGUUGGUAAGAAAAAUAAAACCCUGUGAGAAAGGUAGAUGCAUUCAAAUGUUUUAGUGUAAAUGGACUUCAAUAGAAAUUCUUAGAUAGCAUAUCUUCAUUUAUAUUUGUAGUUGAAAUUCAAGUUUAUAAACAUAGCUUUUUCUGAGCCCUUUUCAUGCAUUGAAACUUAGAGAAAUAUUCCCAUUGGAAUAUUAAAAAUCCUUUUGAUAUGAGGAGGAAAGUACACCUGAACUUGACUACUAGAAAUAGCAAUGCUCAAAUGUUCUCCGUACACUUGGUUGUUGUAAGAGCAACAGUAAGAAUAUGUCUUAAUGUUUGCUUUAUACCUUGUGUGCUGUGUUGUCUUGUUAUAACACAGCAGAAGAUAAGAUAAACAAGAAUCCUCCUAAGGUUUACCUUGUGAGUUAAACUAGAAUCUUGAAAGCACACACACAAAAAAGGUUUUAGAAAAUUUAGUCAAUAAAAGUGAUAUCUCUUUCUCCUUUGCAACAUUUCUGUAAAUAGGAAUCUAUCUGAAAAUCAGAGCAAAGGACUCAUCAGUAUUACUAUGAUGCCUAUGCAGUACAGGAAUUACCAGUCUGUGACUAAAAGUGUGUCACAGGGUUUCUUCCUUUACUGCUGCUGUUAAUUUGGAAUUUCCAGUCCCACUUCCCUUCCUUUUUCCUUUGUCACUGUAGGCCCCCCUCUUCUCUUUGCCGUGCUUGUCCAUUUCCUCUGUCUUAAAGCAGGGUAGACAUAUACUAGUAGCAUUGUCUGCAGUGGUCUAACUUCAUUUGAUUUUUUUUUUUUAAUUUUGUAGACUAUAGACACAGUCAAACUUAAGCAAAACUUUUUUUAUUUGUGGGUUUGUCAGAGCAAUAAAUUUGAUUCUCAGGAAUUAUAGUUGAAGAAACAGGAAAACAUUUUAAUUAUGUUAAUUUUUACAGGACGAUCCAUUGGUGCUGAAUGAGAUCAGAGAAGAUCUUCGAGUAGAGUGCUCCAAGUUUGGACAAAUUAGGAAGCUCCUUCUCUUUGAUGUAAGUUCAUGGCUUGGAAAAAUGAAUCCUAAAACAAUUAUUUUUCUAGCUUAAUAUAUGAUUAUUGAACAUCAGUAAGCUCCUAAAUUUUAGAUUAAUAUUUUAAUAUAGUAAGUUUGCUAUCUGAUGGUAGUCAUCUAUCAACAAUAACUAGAUAGACAUUUUUUAUUUUUACAAGUCAAGGCUUUGAUAGACUUGGUAUGUCUUGUUCAUUUCUCUUCAUCCCUCUUAGAGGAUGUGAUCAGGUGAAAGAAACUGCAAGAAAAAUGUACAAAACUUUAUUUUUCCCUAUUUGCCCACAUUUUCCCCUCUCUAAAUUAUUCUUCUCUAUAUUUGGAUCAAUUGGGGAAAAUAUUCUACUGUGUAUUUCCCCUUUUCAUCCUUCUUUUACUUCCAAAAUUGACACAGUAAUUUAAAGUCACCAUUUAUUUUUGUUGUACUAUUAGCUCCUUUACGUGUUAUCUCAUUUAGCCCUCAACAACCCUUCCAAGGUAGGUAAGUCCUAUUCUACCCACUUUACAGAUGAGAAAACUAAAACUUUUCAGUUGGAGCACCGUGCCCAGGGUUUAUUCAGCUGGUAACUAACAGCCAGGAUUUAAUCCCAGAGUGAAUCUCACUUCAGUGUUCAUAGUCUUAACAAUUACUCUGUCUUAUCUCUCAUUAAACAAUAUUUUUUGCAGAAAUAUUUCUGGCUCUUGCUAGAUAAGAUGUAGCUAAAGAAAUAGCUGAAUGCAUGCCGUUUUGGGGAUAAAAGGGAGAAAGACUUCUUAAAGUCUUCUACCUUGAAGUAUCAAAGAGAAUACUAUACCUUACAUACUUUAUCAAAUGUGUUUUGCUUUUAAUCUUAUUGUUCAUUAUUUUUUGUUCAUUCUUGUCUUUCUAGAGGCACCCAGAUGGUGUGGCCUCUGUGUCCUUUAGGGAUCCCGAGGAAGCUGAUCAUUGUAUUCAGACCCUUGAUGGAAGAUGGUUUGGUGGUCGACAGAUCACCGCCCAAGCAUGGGAUGGGACUACAGAUUAUCAGGUAAAUUCUACAGUUAUCAAGGCACACAGAUUGUUUUAUUACCAACAAAUAUUGAUCAAGCAGUCUUUUAG
rnacentral:lncRNA from 1 species